rnacentral:lncRNA from 1 species
AAUUAAUGUUUAAUUUUUUUACCAUUUUAAAUCUUAAGUUUUUUCUUCCAAAUACCUUAAAUAAAUAUUUAUAAAGGAAACUCAAUAUGUAAAAACUUUAACUUUAAUGAAGUAUGUGUGAUCAUUUUAAUUGUCUAGUUUACAACAAAAAUAAUCUUCAUUGUUCUUCCCCGUCCCAAUGGUUAGGUAGUUGAAUUGAUUACCCUCUAAAUUUUGUGGAGUUGAAUAUGACGGGAUGUUCAAGUAUUGAAAUUCAAUUUGAAGUAUAUGUUAUGGCUAGCAUGUGUCUCGUUUGUAUUCUCAGUAUUGAAAUUCAAUUUUGAAGUACAAUGUUAUGUCUAGCAUGUGUCUCGUUUGUAGGGUCUUGAAUUCAAGUAUUGAAUUUCAAUUUGAAGUAUAUUUUUAUGGCUAGCAUGUGUCUUGUUUGUGGGGUAAAGAACACAAAAUAGAUUCUUAAUUUCUAGCCGAGGAGUGCUCUCUUUUGUGCAGGGUCUUGAAUUCAAGUAUUGAAUUUCAAUUUUGAAGUAUAUUUUUAUGGCUAGCAUGUGUCUUGUUUGUGGGGUAAAGAACACAAAAUAGAUUCUUAAUUUCUAGCCGAGGAGUGCUCUCUUUUGUGCAUGUGGCGUCUGUAUUCUUUUGAUGAAUAGGCAGCAAUCAUUACUUUAAAAUAUUUUAAAAUUUGUUAUGAUGAAGAGGCAUAGUAUUUGGAAUUUGUCUUACAAUUUGUUUUAAAAUAUCUUACGUAGCAUAUCUAUUCU